rnacentral:rRNA from 1 species
GAUGAACGCUGGCGGCGUGCCUAAUACAUGCAAGUCGAGCGAACAGAUAAGGAUCUUGCUCCUUUGACGUUAGCGGCGGACGGGUGAGUAACACGUGGGUAACCUACCUAUAAGACUGGGAUAACUUCGGGAAACCGGAGCUAAUACCGGAUAACAUUUGGAACCGCAUGGUUCUAAAGUGAAAGAUGGUUUUGCUAUCACUUAUAGAUGGACCCGCGCCGUAUUAGCUAGUUGGUAAGGUAACGGCUUACCAAGGCGACGAUACGUAGCCGACCUGAGAGGGUGAUCGGCCACACUGGAACUGAGACACGGUCCAGACUCCUACGGGAGGCAGCAGUAGGGAAUCUUCCGCAAUGGGCGAAAGCCUGACGGAGCAACGCCGCGUGAGUGAUGAAGGGUUUCGGCUCGUAAAACUCUGUUAUUAGGGAAGAACAAAUGUGUAAGUAACUGUGCACGUCUUGACGGUACCUAAUCAGAAAGCCACGGCUAACUACGUG